rnacentral:tRNA from 1 species
GGGCGUGUAGCUCAGUUGGCUAGAGUACCUCCUUGACAUGGAGGGGGUCACAGGUUCAAGUCCUGUCACGCCCA